CACCUUGCGCUACUCAGGUCUGCU
rnacentral:miRNA from 1 species